UAAUGUCUGAAUCAGACUUUAGACAGUAAUGCUGUAUUAGUGGCCAGACACGUGAAACAUCUUGCGUGAUCUGUGUCAUGUGGAAAUGUCAUGUGUGUUUCUUUAGAUACAAGUCAAGCCUCUCUUUUGAAUUCAAUAACACAUAUUUUUAUUUCUAUUUUAAACCUGUGGGUGGUCAGUUCUUUUGAGAAGUGGUCUAUAACUGUGACUCGCUGAUUUUUUUUUUUUUGAACCCUGUUUGCUCUUUGUGACAUCACUCUCUGUGACAUUACCAACUGCCUUCUCUCAACUGUCAGCUGCUCAGAAAUUUCUGGUGGGAGCAAAAGGGGUUGAUUUCUGCCAUCCCUGGAGCUGUGCCCAUCACUGAAUGAGAGAGAGGAGCUGGGAGAGGAGCUGCUUCCUUCUCGCCUCUGCUUUCCUCUGCCGGGGUUAGCAGAAAGGUUGAUCUCCAGAUGAUGCAGUUAAGGGCUUCAAGGACACCAGCAGGCCUUUCUCUCCUGGGCGCCUUCAGCAUCGUGCCAGGUGCAGGAUAAAGAUCAUGAUGGAGGGCCUGGUCUCCGCUUGGCCUAGCAGCCUUCCCUGAGCUGGGCCUGUGCCAAAGUAAAAGUGCCCAGGAGAAGGAGUGGGACUCGGAAAAGAAUGAAGGCGAAGCAAGCAAUGGAGGAUCCUGAUAGCUGUGUCUCCUGAUCCAUACUACAGUCCUGUAAGUGUUGAAGAACCUCUUGAAUUUGUCUUCCCAGAAGCUGGAGAGGUAAGUCUGACUCCUACCACCUCCAGAGGCCAGACUGUCAGAGAGCUACAUAGGAAAAGACAGCAGUCCACAGAUAUCAAAGGUGUUGAAAAAGGAGCGUACUUCCUCUCUGUUGCUACUGAGUGCAGCACUGAACGCUGCCAAUACGAGAAUGCAGGUUUAGGCUAGGCAGUAGGAAUGCUUUCCCAGAUGGGAGAAGGGUUGCCAAGGUUACCUCAUGGAGUCCUGGGCUCCUCUUUGCUGAUGGUUUUCAGACAGAAGCCAGAUAACGAUGAUCUCCAAGGAGCCUUCCCACUCUAAAAUGCCAUGAUUCUGCUGUUAUUGUCACAUUGAGUCUGCAAGGGAUCUGCAAGUCCCGUCCCCCCCCGACACCCAGACUGAUUCUAUUUGCCCCCCAAGUUGACUGCAGUUAUGAGGAAGCAGAUUUAAGCUAAGCCUUGAGAAUAAUUUCCCACGGGAGAGAUGUCUGCAGAGGCACACACAACCAUCCCAAGUACAGAUAUAGAUAGUAUACAGGUACACUCGCACAUAUACUUGUGAACACUUUUUUAAUGUCAAUAAUUGGUAAAGAGGGACCAGUGAUGCAUGGAUUUAUUUUUCUGAUUGAAUCCCUUCCCUUGAUGGGAGUUGCAGCCCAACAACAUCUGGGACCAAGUUUGAGAAUCUCUUGUCUGUUGGCUUCCCAGAGGCAUCCAGUGAGCCCCUAUGGGGAAACAGCAUGCUGGAUUAGAUAGGCCUUGGGUCUGAUCCAGCAGGGCUGUUAGAUUCUUAACAGUCAGGUAUGAUGGGAGUUGUAGUCCAACUUCUUUUUCCAGUCAUUCUCUUCAGCCUGACCUACUUUACAGGACUAUUGUGAGGAUAGAAGAAUUGCAUAUUUGGAGGUCCCGGCAGUAAGGGCAGAUAUAAAUUCCAGAAGCCAAGGGUUCUUAAAAUUGGGUCCCCAGAUGUUUUGGGACUAGAAUUCCCAUCAUCCUCAGCUACAAAACCUUGCAGGAGUAUUGCAUGUCUUGUUGAUCAAAAGGGAAUCAUGCAUGUUUGGAAUGGAAGGGUCCUUGUAAGAGCCCUGAAAAGUCAGAAGUUAGAUUACACAGAAGUUAUAUUAGAAGUUAAAAAUAUUUUAAAGUUGAUGCUUAUGCUUUAUUUUAAAAAUAUUUAUAUAUUUCAUAUUGAAAAGACUCUUGGUUAAAACAACGCAGGGUUGUGUACAGCCCAUCGGAUCCCUCUACUACCUCUUGGUUUCUCCCAAGACGUGCUCAAGAGAGAGUUCCAUAAAGAUCUGCUUCCACAGACAUGACACUUUCAUCUUGCUUCUGCUUCCUUGCAAUAGCUGCCACUUGGAGGGGUGGGGAGGGAUAGCUAUUCACAGCAAUUAGCCAAGAAGCUAGGGAUGCCCCACCUGUAGCUCAGCAGCUGCUGUUGGACUAGAACUCGCAUCAUCCCCAGCUGCUGUGUUGAGACUACAGAUGAUCACCCCCAUCAAAACUGGUGGCUGGGGAUGAUAGAAGUUGUAGUAUGGUGGGGGUUGUAAUCCAACACUGUGAUAACAAAUAUAGUCCCCUGAUGCAAAUCCAUGGUGAAAAGCAUCGUGAAAGAAAGCAUCAGGGUUUGGGCAACAGCUUGUAUAAGGGGGCUGGAUAAAGAAAUCAACAUGAAAAUAGGAAGGUUGAAACUAAGGGUCAAUAAGGGAAGGCCAUUAACACAUUGAUCUGAAUUUAAGAUGCUAUUACCCCAAAUGAUUUGAUGUUAAAAUUCAGGGUCACGACGUAAAUUCAGAAUCCUGCUGUUUUAGGUAAGUAAAUGUUUAACAUAUAUUCUACUGCCACCCAUUCCUGGAGGGCCUUCCUCCUGUUGCCGGACCCCACAAGGCUUGGCGUUCCUUCCUCCUGUUGCCGGACCCCACAAGGCUUGGCGUUCCUUCCUCCUGUUGCCGGACCCCACAAGGCUUGGCGUUCCUUCCUCCUGUUGCCGGACCCCACAAGGCUUGGCGUUCCUUCCUCCUGUUGCCGGACCCCACAAGGCUUGGCGUUCCUUCCUCCUGUUGCCGGACCCCACAAGGCUUGGCGUUCCUUCCUCCUGUUGCCGGACCCCACAAGGCUUGGCGUUCCUUCCUCCUGUUGCCGGACCCCACAAGCAAAGAAGAGCUUCCCUUUCAACAUCUAACAAAGGAUCCCAUCCUGCUUCUGAUGCACUGUUAUCAAUGCGAGUGCUGAGGGUUGCCUCGGCCGGGUAAAUAUGCAUGGACACAAUGACAAAUCUCUCCGGUGGCUGAGCGGAAUGGUGGGCCCUAGAGAAGGCAAGAAGAGGCUGAGGAGAGCAACCCCACAACAGAUGCCCAUUCCCUUUUUGACUAGGUUUGCAAAAGCCUCGUGUACACUCAAGGUCAUGAGGCUUUUGCAAAGAGGGGGCAUAGUUUCCCGGGAAACGACUUCACCCCAGGAGUGGAAUCCACACCUUAGUUUACAGAGCUCCCUUCAAACUAGUUACUGAAGUUGCAGCCCAGGUUUGCACCUGUUCCCCCUGUCCCAUCUCUUGAUUCCGAGUCUGGGUGCCCGACCCCCCUCCCUUCCCCUGGCUCCGCAUCCAGUGCGGGGUGCAAAUGUCACAUCCAGUCCUGGCAGGGUGCAAGAAACAAGGCUGGACCCCACAGUGAACCAGUCUGUAGGGCCAAGCAGGGGGGCAGAGGGUGUGCUAGUAAAAGCGAUCCCCGCCCUCUCUUGGCCUUCUGCAGGGACACCUCGGCAUCCACUCACCCCCCUCAGGUGACAGUGUGGGAUUAGCCGGUCGCCAUUUGGGGCCGAGUAGGAAUUUUCCCCAUCCACCCGGAUUGGCCUGGAGGUGGCUGGUUUUUUGCCUACUCUGCACUGUUGCACUGGAAGGGAUUUUUGAUCUGGCGGAUGUUAGGAGUGGUGCCGCUAAAUAGUGUAGCCCCUUGGUCACCAUGGCAGGUCCGAGGAGGGGAUGUAGUGCCCCACCCCAUUGGUGGCAGGUGCGAUUUCCCCCAGCUACACUCUAGUUCUCUGCUAAAAUGAGUCAAUAAAGUGAUGGCCCUAGUUUCAACCCAUUUCCUGUGUGCUGUCGUUUAUUUCUGGGUGUGGGUGCAAAGGGACUUCAUGGCAGAACGCUUGCAAGACAGUCUCAAGUAGCAUUGAGUGUGAGCUAUAGAUCCACAAAGGCAAGCUUCACAAAGAGGCAGAAUCCGAAAUUCAGGAGAAGCAUGAGUUGCUCCUUCUGCUCUAGCCAGGUCUUCUGCUCCUCCAACCCCACAAAUGGCGGUCUGGUUCAUACUCACACAAUCAAGUGGCAAAGCUCUGCAUAGACUGUAUCACUUCAGGCUGCAAGUGGAAGGUAGGGUUUUUAAAUGCUCUCCCUCAUAAUAGUUUUUUAAAAAAAAAACCAUGUUGGGAACAAGUGUUCAACUCAGGGGUGCAAACAGAGGAAAAGCUUAAGGAGCACCUCAUUAAUUUUAUUUUGUGGAUAGGUAUGGGCUAUUAGAGGCACAGUGGGGAAGUAACUUGCCUAGGGAGCAAGAGGCUGCUGGUUCAAAUCCCCGCUGGUAUAUUUCCCAGACUAUGGGAAACACAGAUAUCGGGCAGCAGCGAUAUAGGAAGAUGCUGAAAGGCAUCAUCUCAUACUGCCGGGAGAUGGCAAUGGUCAACCCCUUCCCAAUUCUACCAAAGACAACCACAUGGCUCUAUGGUCGCCAGGAGUUGGCAGGUGGUGUGAUAAAAUGCAGGGGAAACUGCUCAAUUGGUUAAGGGUGAUGUGCACUCUUGGUUCAGUCUAACCCUUUCCCUUCAGAGCUAUUUUUCGAUGUGCAGGGAUCUUCUGUGGGGAGGGAUGCACAAAUCACACAUCUGCAGCUUGAAGUGAUACAAUCCAGGAAAAGGUUACUCAGUGAUUUGCUGAAUGUUUCAGGUAUUGUCAGCAGUCUGUCUGUGAGCACAGCAAAAAGAGAAUCUGGUGUUUAGUAGGUGCCAGCAUGAAUUUGUCACACUGGAGUAAUCUCUCCUCCUCUUUUAACAGAGUUACUAGUUUAGUAGAGGACAGGGAUGCUGUGGACAAAGUGUGCCUUGAUUUCUGCAAAGCAUUUGACACAGUCCCCACAAUAUCCUCCUUGACCUCUGUGGAGAAUGGGGCCAAAAACUCCAUGUUGCAUCUUAGAGUUCUUAGAUCUCCUUGGGGACAGAAUCCAGCUGCAGGACUUCCGCGGAUUCCGAGGUGGCUUGGAUGUUACGAGAGGUCAGACAGGAACAGAGUCUGUCUACACCAAUUUCCGGGGCAAGGAGAUCAUGUUCCAUGUCUCUACAAAGCUACCCUUCACAGAGGGAGAUGCCCAGCAGCUUCAGCGGAAGCGCCACAUUGGGAACGAUAUUGUGGCCAUUGUCUUCCAGGAUGAAAAUACUCCCUUUGUCCCUGACAUGAUUGCCUCCAAUUUCCUGCAUGCCUAUGUGGUAGUGCAGCUUCAUCACCAUGCCCUUGGGGAGACUCUCUACAAGGAGCGGACCCGCAGUGCUCUUCUCGAGAGUCUUUAUGAGGAGCUGCAGAUCCGGAGCCGCAGCAUGAUGGGCUUGGCCUCUGGAGAUGAUGACAAGAUAGAGAAUGGGGGUGGUGGCUUCUUUGAGAAUUUCAAGGUUGAAGAAAAUGUCAGUUAAGAAAUGUUGUUAGUUUGUACAUUCCAUUACACUUAAAAGCAACAUACCUAUCCAAAGAGAGAGAGAGAGAGAGAGAGAGAGAUUUUCUCAAUCAAUGUUUGCUGGAGAAAAGAUCAAAUCUGAUAUUCUAAAGACAAGCAG